AUGGACGGACUCCUCGGGUGGCUAAAGGCGCCAGCGAAUGCGGGGCGAUGCAGGGAGCAGCAGCAGCUCCAGGAACUUGACAGCGCGGGGUUCAUUGGUCUCUGGGCGACCAUGGCGGCGCGAGGGAGACCUUGGAUGAGAGCAGGGUCGCGAGACCCGGUCGGUGGAGACCCUGGAGCUCCGUGGGCGGCGGUGAAGCUCCAUGGAUGGCAGCAAGGUAGGGUGUCCGUGGCGGCGGUCUCCUACGGAGAGAGAGGUCAGGGAAGGGGAGGAGAGAACCAGAAGGGGAGAAAAAGGAGGGGAGGGACAACGAGGUCCAGCCUGGUCGUGGCCUCGUCAGCCGACGGGUUGGAGCUCCUCGGGCUAGCCAUCCUCCAUGGGGGAAGGAGGCGGCAGAGGCAGGGCUUGAGCAAAGGGGAAUCGGGGAGAGGGGCGCUCGCGAGGACGAGGUGGGUCGAUAAGAUGAUGCGGCCCACAAGAUGGUGUGGGGCGAGUGAGUGGGUGUGGCGGCAGCGACGGAAGACUGACGAGAGGAGGAGAGGGAUU
rnacentral:rRNA from 1 species